AGUCGAGCGGAUGAAGGUAGCUUGCUACCGGAUUCAGCGGCGGACGGGUGAGUAAUGCUUAGGAAUCUGCCUAUUAGUGGGGGACAACGUUCCGAAAGGRGCGCUAAUACCGCAUACGUCCUACGGGAGAAAGCAGGGGACCUUCGGGCCUUGCGCUAAUAGAUGAGCCUAAGUCGGAUUAGCUAGUUGGUAGGGUAAAGGCCUACCAAGGCGACGAUCUGUAGCGGGUCUGAGAGGAUGAUCCGCCACACUGGGACUGAGACACGGCCCAGACUCCUACGGGAGGCAGCAGUGGGGAAUAUUGGACAAUGGGGGGAACCCUGAUCCAGCCAUGCCGCGUGUGUGAAGAAGGCCUUUUGGUUGUAAAGCACUUUAAGCGAGGAGGAGGCUACCUAGAUUAAUACUUUAGGAUAGUGGACGUUACUCGCAGAAUAAGCACCGGCUAACUCUGUGCCAGCAGCCGCGGUAAUACAGAGGGUGCGAGCGUUAAUCGGAUUUACUGGGCGUAAAGCGUGCGUAGGCGGCCAAUUAAGUCAAAUGUGAAAUCCCCGAGCUUAACUUGGGAAUUGCAUUCGAUACUGGUUGGCUAGAGUAUGGGAGAGGAUG
rnacentral:rRNA from 1 species